rnacentral:lncRNA from 1 species
GUUUAGAAGGUUUGAAGACCUGGGGUAACCUCUGGUGUGUAUUUUCUGAGCAGUUUUCCACUUCAUUGUGGAAGACAUCUGAGUUUCUGGGAAAAUAGAAUCCAUAUGUCUCUGGCCCAUUUAUCCUGAAAACCCCGGGAAAACUUGCUUUGUAAGCAGCACGUGAGGGAGAAGAAAUGCUGGAGAGUUGUCAACCCAUUCUCUUCCAACGAGCUGCAUUUCCUUUCGCCAGCUUCACUCGCGAUGUCCUUGGAUUCUGUCCUAACCUGUUUCUCAACCGAUCAGUGCAGCUCACCAGUGACUUUUCUGGUGGUUUCUGUUUCAGAGCACAGACAUCUGCCAGUCCCCAGACACGCCUGGAAUGAGGCUCCCAUGGGCUGCACAGCCCCAGGCCCUGGCCACGCUGCCAUUGCCUUACCCCCUUCACCCUUUCUCCGGAUACACCUCUUCAUGGAAGGUGUCUCUUGGUGGUUCUUUAAUGUUCUGGGCAGAGAAUACAAGCCAGACUAAAGGAUCUCAGGUCUGUGGCCACUUAGAAGUGCCCUGGUGAGAGAGAACGAGGACAACCUUCACCGUGACGACUUUCCCAAGCUCGCGAUGUUCUGAAACACCCUGUGGGAAGCAGUAGGAAAAGCCUGUUACAAGAAGCUUGUUUUUAAUGCAUUGGAUAGAAUAUUGGUCAAAUCAUGCACUUACUUCCCAAUAGACAUGUUUUAUAUUAAAUCAUACAUAAUGUCUGCCGAGAUAUUCUUUUUCUCUUUAUGAUAAUAUUGUAAAAAUUGCAAUAUAUGUGCACCGAAUGGACUCAAUCUAUUCUCAUCACACAUAUUCCUUACUAUAAGAUAUUUAGGAAGGAAAACACUUUCCUAAAUGGAAGUUUAUGUUUCUUAAUCAAAUAAAUUCUUUUAAACAUUGUAGUGAGUUACAUAAAAUAACCCCAAUUCAAACUUACGAGAGAAAAAGAGGGAUUUCUUUGGCUCACAAGAUGGAGAAGUCCAGAGUGGGGAUCCAGCUCAAACAAUGUCGGCAUCCUGUUUCUCUCCCACAGCUGCCUUUGGACUUUCCCGCCAAACAGUGUAUUGCCAGCAUUCUAUCUACCCCCCACCCCAAGUGACAAGAAAGAUGGAUGGCAGGCCUCGAACUAACUGCUUCUUUUCAGAAUGGUGGAGGGUGCUAUCUUUCUGCGCCCAACCCCCAUUGCAAAAUGCUGGUGAAAGACUCUGAUUGACUUGAUGAAUCAGCCACCGAGGCUGGGUCACGUGCCCACCCUUCCUACGGGGUAUAGUAGUGAAUUGAUUAGGCAAUGACAGGCUAAGAUUGCAGCCCCACUAGGACCAGGGAGCUGAGAAGGAGCUCCCCGGAGGGAAGGACAUACCAAUGCCAGAAGAAGGAUAGAAAAAUAAGCUGGGCAGACAAAAAAGUAUUAAUUAGCUCAGCCUGUUC